rnacentral:rRNA from 1 species
CACGUAGGGGGCAAGCGUUGUCCGGAUUUAUUGGGCGUAAAGAGCUCAUAGGCGGCUCGGUAAGUCGGGUGUGAAACCUCCAGGCUCAACCUGGAGACGCCACCUGAUACUGCUGUGGCUAGAGUCCGGUAGGGGAGUGUGGAACUCCUGGUGUAGCGGUGAAAUGCGCAGAUAUCAGGAGGAACACCGAUGGCGAAGGCAGGUCUCUGGGCCGAUACUGACGCUGAGGAGCGAAAGCGUGGGGAGCGAACAGG